AGAGUUUGAUCCUGGCUCAGGACGAACGCUGGCGGCGUGCUUAACACAUGCAAGUCGAACGGAAAGGUCUCUUCGGAGACACUCGAGUGGCGAACGGGUGAGUAACACGUGGGCAAUCUGCCCUGCACUUCGGGAUAAGCCUGGGAAACUGGGUCUAAUACCGGAUAGGACCUCAAGACGCAUGUCUUCUGGUGGAAAGCUUUUGCGGUGUGGGAUGGGCCCGCGGCCUAUCAGCUUGUUGGUGGGGUGACGGCCUACCAAGGCGACGACGGGUAGCCGGCCUGAGAGGGUGUCCGGCCACACUGGGACUGAGAUACGGCCCAGACUCCUACGGGAGGCAGCAGUGGGGAAUAUUGCACAAUGGGCGCAAGCCUGAUGCAGCGACGCCGCGUGGGGGAUGACGGCCUUCGGGUUGUAAACCUCUUUCAGCAGGGACGAAGCGCAAGUGGCGGUACCUGCAGAAGAAGCACCGGCCAACUACGUGCCAGCAGCCGCGGUAAUACGUAGGGUGCGAGCGUUGUCCGGAAUUACUGGGCGUAAAGAGCUCGUAGGUGGUUUGUCGCGUUGUUCGUGAAAUCUCACGGCUUAACUGUGAGCGUGCGGGCGAUACGGGCAGACUAGAGUACUGCAGGGGAGACUGGAAUUCCUGGUGUAGCGGUGGAAUGCGCAGAUAUCAGGAGGAACACCGGUGGCGAAGGCGGGUCUCUGGGCAGUAACUGACGCUGAGGAGCGAAAGCGUGGGGAGCGAACAGGAUUAGAUACCCCAGUAGUCC
rnacentral:rRNA from 1 species